rnacentral:rRNA from 1 species
GAAUAUCCAAGGUUUCCAGGGUAAAGCUGAUCUGCCCUGGGUAAGUCGGGGCCUAAGGUGAGGGCGAGAGCCGUAGCCGAUGGACAACAGGUGGAGAUUCCUGUACUAUGAUAUGACAGAACUGUGGGGACACGUGCAGAGAGCGGAAGCCGGGAAUGGAAUCCCGGUGCAAGCGAGGUACCAGUCACAUUGGAAAAACCGUGUGGCAAUGGGAAGACGUGAUGCGGAGUGAAAAAUAGUAACGAAGUCCGUGAGCUGUGCGUCAAGAAAAGCCGCUAUUGUUCAUACCAUACCCGUACCGUAAACCGACACAGGUGGAUGAGGAGAGAAUCCUAAGGCCGGCGGAAGAAGCAUUGUCAAGGAACUCGGCAAAAUGACCCCGUAACUUCGGGAGAAGGGGUGCCACUGAAAAGUGGCCGCAGAGAAUAGGCUCAAGCAACUGUUUAGCAAAAACACAGGUCUAUGCGAAACCGUGAGGUGAGGUAUAUGGGCUGACGCCUGCCCGGUGCUGGAAGGUUAAGAGGAGAGGUUAGCGCAAGCGAAGCUUUGAAUUUAAGCCCCAGUAAACGGCGGCCGUAACCAUAACGGUCCUAAGGUAGCGAAAUUCCUUGUCGGGUAAGUUCCGACCCGCACGAAAGGCGUAAUGAUUUGAGCGCUGUCUCGACAAUGCAUCCGGUGAAAUUGAAGUACCAGUGAAGAUGCUGGUUACCUGCGCCAGGACGGAAAGACCCCAUGGAGCUUUACUCCAGUUUGGUACUGGGAUCCGGUACUGCAUGUACAGGAUAGGUGGGAGGCUGUGAAAUAGUAACGCCAGUUAUUAUGGAGCCGCUGUUGGGAUACCACCCUUGCAGUAUUGGGUUUCUAACCAGCCGCCGUGACCCGGCGGUGGGACAAUGCCAGACGGGGAGUUUGACUGGGGCGGUCGCCUCCGGAAGGGUAUCGGAGGCGCCCAAAGGUUCCCUCAGAAUGGACGGAAACCAUUCGAAGAGUGCAAAGGCAGAAGGGAGCUUGACUGCGACACCGACGGGUGGAGCAGGUACGAAAGUAGGGCUUAGUGAUCCGGUGGUAUUAAGUGGGAAUGCCAUCGCUCAAGGGAUAAAAGCUACCCUGGGAUAACAGGCUUAUCACUCCCAAGAGUUCACAUCGACGGAGUGGUCUGGCACCUCGAUGUCGGCUCAUCGCAUCCUGGGGCUGUAGUAGGUCCCAAGGGUUGGGCUGUUCGCCCAUUAAAGCGGUACGCGAGCUGGGUUCAGAACGUCGUGAGACAGUUCGGUCCCUAUCCGGCGUGGGCGUAGGAUAUCUGAGAGGAGCUGUCCUUAGUACGAGAGGACCGGGAUGGACGGGCCGCUGGUGCACCGGUUAGACUGCCAAGUCUAUAGCCGGGUAGCCAAGCCCGGAAGGGAUAAACGCUGAAUGCAUCUAAGCGUGAAGCCCCCCUCAAGAUGAGAUAUCCCAUCCGAAAGGAGUAAACCCCCUUGAAGACGACGAGGUUGAUAGGGCAGAGGUGGAAGUACGGUAACGUAUGGAGCUGACUGCUACUAAUAGGGUGAGGGCUUGACCG